rnacentral:lncRNA from 1 species
GUCUUCUCCCACCCCAUGAAUGUAAACAUUUUAACAACUAGCCUGACUGUGAAAAGCCCGGAGAAUCCUUCCUACAGGGGACAGUGUACGUGGUUCUCGGCACCUGGUGUUGCCUUCGGAGGCACAGAGGACGUUCUAGAAACACGAGGUGCAAAGAGAAGUUGGACAGGCGCCCACACCUGGCUGGCACGCACACCUGUGUGCACCGAGGGGGAACUGACGAGGACCUGAAUUGCUGAGCCAGGCUGCAUUCGCCUAACAGAGAAGGAGACAAAACCAACCCGGUGGCCACGUGGCCGAAGGCACAGAGCUGUUGAGUGGCAGCGUGGCAUUUGAAUUCAGGCCGGUGAUGCUGAAGUCCCCAGGUCUUUUUUUUUUUUGAUGCCCACAAAAAUGUAACUACUAAUAGCCUGUUAUUGAUGCAGGCCUUACCAAUAACAUAAAUAGUUG